GCUACGCAUGGUGGUGUAUGCCUGUAAUCCCAGUGACUUGGGAGGCUGAGGCAGGAGGAUCGGCAAUUCAAACCAACUUCAACACAAGUGAAGUACUCAGCAACUCAGUGAGACCCUGUCUCUA
rnacentral:sRNA from 1 species